CCCUUAGAUGUUCUGGGCUGCACGCGCGCUACACUGAAGCGUUCAACGAGUAUUCACCUUGCCCGGGAGGGUUGGGUAAUCUUUUGAAAACGCUUCGUGAUGGGGAUAGAUUAUUGCAAUUAUUAAUCUUCGACGAGGAAUUCCUAGUAAGCGCGAGUCAUCAGCUCGUGCUGAUUACGUCCCUGCCCUUUGUACACACCGCCCGUCGCUCCUACCGAUUGAGUGGUCCGGUGAAUAAUUCGGACUGCAGCACUGCUUGGUCUCCAGGCUUUGCAGCGGAAAGUUUAGUGAACCUUAUCACUUAGAGGAAGGAGAAGUCGUAACA
rnacentral:rRNA from 1 species